UACGAAGGGGGCAAGCGUUGUUCGGAAUUACUGGGCGUAAAGGGUGUGUAGGCGGUUUGUCUAGUCAGGUGUGAAAUCCCGGGGCUCAACCUCGGAACUGCAUUUGAUACUGGCAAGCUGGAAUAGUUGAGAGGUAAGCAGAAUUCCCAGUGUAGAGGUGAAAUUCGUAGAUAUUGGGAGGAAUACCAAUGGCGUAGGCAGCUUACUGGCAACAUAUUGACGCUGAGGCACGAAAGCGUGGGGAGCAAACAGG
rnacentral:rRNA from 1 species